rnacentral:tRNA from 1 species
CAGUAAGUAUUUUAUAUAAAAUAUUAGUUUUGGAGACUAAAGAAAAAUUUUUUUCUUAUUGA